UGUUGUUGCAUUCUUGAACGUUUCCUCCCUGCACUUGGGCCGCCCCUUACCGGGCGGCCAUUUUUUUUGGUCGCC
rfam:Magnetospira sp. QH-2 chromosome, complete genome